rnacentral:lncRNA from 1 species
UCCUCUUCUCUUUCUUUGUACAGUCUCAGUUGCUUGCUCCUCCCCCUCCUGGGCAAGGGCUGAAAGAGGCUUCUCCUACCUGUCUUGGGAGCCUGCCCCAAAAGCAGGAGUGUCCCCAGCUGGAUCUGAAGGAUAUUUGGAGAGAGAGGUAUCCAGGGAUGCCUCAUCUCAUAGCCUGGGCUCUGAAGUUGACUUUCUAUAGGCAAUUUUGUAUCUUUGUGGAGAAAUGUGUCACCUGUCCCCAACCCAAUUCACUCUUUUUUCCUGUUUUUAAAAAAAAUAAAAAUAAACGAUGCC